rnacentral:lncRNA from 1 species
AUGGGAUGGAUGGAGAGUGGGGUGGGGGGUGGUGGUCACAGAAAUCUGCACACAGGUGGGGUGAAUGGAAUGUGGCCAAGAGGUAAAGAGGGCCAGGGGGACCUGGAAUAUUUUAGGGGGGAACGUGAGGUCAAGGACAGCUGGCAGGGGUGCAGCAUGGGAGCUGAUGGAGAAGAAAUGGAAGCAGUGGUGGCCAGGGAAGGAAGGAAGAGGAGGAGGAAGUGGCAGCUUGGGGUAAAGAACUGUGGGCAAUGGCUUGACCAAGAGGGAAGAGAGGAGAAGAAGGAAGUUGAGACAGGAAAAGGGAGCCUAAAGACCAUAGCCUGGUCUUGGAGAAGACCCAAGGCUCCUAGGAGCAGCUGCAGACAGGGGCCAUGAUGACUGGUGACGUGGAGGAAACGGGCAGCUCUGCACAGGGAGAGACAAGGGAGCUGCACAGAAACAGCGCAGGGAGCCUCGGGGGCUUGAGGAGGGACUCAAGGGGAUGGAGUCCAGAGUGGGGAGCAGACAGAAUUGGCAGAGGAGUGGCUGGGAAUUAGAGUGGCAUCAACACUGCUUCUGUUAUUUACAAGGGACCUCUAAAGGAUGGAGGAGGCCUAGAACGUGGCAGAGAGAUUCCACACAAGGAACCAGGGGGGAAAAACAGGGACCUUCAAACCAUAGGUCUAGUCAGAGAAGAAAAUGGGGGAGGCAGGGAGGCACAGGAAGAGAGAGCGGAGGGCAGGAUGGUGGAGACUGGGGUUGGGGGCUCAGAUCAGGAGGCUGGAUGUGGGGAACAGAGGGGCAGGCAGAAUGGGACGGAGAACCAGAGUCUUAAAGCACAGCUGAGAGGGAGAGAGGGCAAAGGGGAGAUCCGAAUCAUGUCAUCAGGGAGCAGGAGAGCAAGGCAGGGGUGCAUUCCAGGGUCUGAGGAGGAGCGGGGUGAGCAAUGGAGGAGGAGGAGGGAGGAGGUGGGGAGGCAGGGGCCUGGUGUAAAUCCUGUGAGCAGUGGCUUGAUUAAAAGGGAAGUGAGAAAAGAAGAGAGUGCCAGGCUAAGGAAAGGGAGCCUAAAGGGAAACCAUGGCCCGAGCCUCGGAAGGACUGAAUGAGAGACGGGGUGGUUCUGGAGAGAAGGGGGCAGGGCAGGGGAUGGAAAGAGGGUGAGCUGGGAGAGCAGGUCCCAAGGGAGCACGGAGAGGAGAUGAUGGGCCUAGAGGAGAGACUGACGCUCUCCCUGGGCCAGGGAGGGGAAGGCAAGGAGUGGAUCACGUGAGGAAAGGUGACAGGAAGGAACGUCCACAUGGGGUCUUGAUGUGGCAGGACAGGAGGGUCACCUGGCAGAGACAGACCAGGUGAUGGGAGGCACCCGGGGAGGAUGGAGAGCAGAGGGCAGGGGAAG